GACGAACGCUGGCGGCGUGCUUAACACAUGCAAGUCGAACGGAAAGGCCCUGCUUUUGUGGGGUGCUCGAGUGGCGAACGGGUGAGUAACACGUGAGUAACCUGCCCUUGACUUUGGGAUAACUUCAGGAAACUGGGGCUAAUACCGGAUAGGAGCUCCUGCUGCAUGGUGGGGGUUGGAAAGUUUCGGCGGUUGGGGAUGGACUCGCGGCUUAUCAGCUUGUUGGUGGGGUAGUGGCUUACCAAGGCUUUGACGGGUAGCCGGCCUGAGAGGGUGACCGGCCACAUUGGGACUGAGAUAGGCCCCAGACUCCUACGGGGGGCAGCAGGGGGGAAUCUUGCACAAUGGGGGGAAGCCUGAUGCAGCAACGCCGGGUGCGGGAUGACGGCCUACGGGUUGUAAACCGCUUUCGCCUGUGACGAAGCGGGAGUGACGGUAAUGGGUAAAGAAGCACCGGCUAACUACGUG
rnacentral:rRNA from 1 species